rnacentral:misc_RNA from 1 species
UUUCCGUAGGUGAACCUGCGGAAGGAUCAUUAUUGAAUAAACCUGAUGUGGUUGUAGCUGGCCCUUUCGGGAGCAUGUGCACACCCGUCGUCUUUAUCUUUCCACCUGUGCACCUUUUGUAGACCUGGAUGUAACACUUUCCGAGGCAACUCGGUCGGGAGGAAUGCUGUCAGCUUUCCUUGAAUGUCCAGGCCCAUGUUUUCAUAUACCCCAAAGAAUGUAACAGAAUGUAUUAUUGGGCCUUGUGCCUAUAAACUAUAUACAACUUUCAGCAACGGAUCUCUUGGCUCUC